AUACGAAGGGGGCUAGCGUUGCUCGGAAUUACUGGGCGUAAAGGGCGCGUAGGCGGCUUAGUUAGUCAGGCGUGAAAUUCCUGGGCUCAACCUGGGGACUGCGCUUGAUACGGCUAGGCUAGAGGAUGGAAGAGGGUCGCGGAAUUCCCAGUGUAGAGGUGAAAUUCGUAGAUAUUGGGAAGAACACCGGUGGCGAAGGCGGCGACCUGGUCCAUUACUGACGCUGAGGCGCGACAGCGUGGGGAGCAAACAGGAUUAGAUACCCUGGUAGUCCACGCCGUAAACGAUGUGCGCUGGAUGUUGGGUGACCUAGUCACUCAGUGUCGUAGCUAACGCGGUAAGCGCACCGCCUGGGGAGUACGGCCGCAAGGUUGAA
rnacentral:rRNA from 1 species